UCUUAAAAAUUUAAUCUAUUUUUACUAUUAAAACUGGUAUAGGUGAUGAUAUAACCAGGCACUCACAUGUUGUACAACACACAGGGACGAAUUUUAAAAAUAAAAAUAGAUGAAAUUUUUAAUA
rnacentral:pre_miRNA from 1 species